rnacentral:rRNA from 1 species
GACGAACGCUGGCGGCGUGCUUAACACAUGCAAGUCGAACGGAAAGGCCCUGCUUUUGUGGGGUGCUCGAGUGGCGAACGGGUGAGUAACACGUGAGUAACCUGCCCUUGACUUUGGGAUAACUUCAGGAAACUGGGGCUAAUACCGGAUAGGAGCUCCUGCUCCAUGGUGGGGGUUGGAAAGUUUCGGCGGUUGGGGAUGGACUCGCGGCUUAUCAGCUUGUUGGUGGGGUAGUGGCUUACCAAGGCUUUGACGGGUAGCCGGCCUGAGAGGGUGACCGGCCACAUUGGGACUGAGAUACGGCCCAGACUCCUACGGGAGGCAGAAGUGGGGAAUAUUGCACAAUGGGCGGAAGCCUGAUGCAGCAACGCCGCGUGCGGGAUGACGGCCUGCGGGUUGUAAACCGCUUUCGCCUGUGACGAAGCGUGAGUGACGGUAAUGGGUAAAGAAGCACCGGCUAACUACGUG